rnacentral:rRNA from 1 species
UGACGUAGGUGGUCAAGCGUUGUCCGGAAGUUAUUGGGACGUAAAGCGCGCGCAGGCGGUUCCAUUUAAGGUCUGAUGUGAAAGCCCACGGCUCCAACCGUGGAGGGUCAUUGGAAACUGGAGGACUUGAGUACAGAAGAGGGAAAGCGGAAUCCACGUGUAGCGGUGAAAUGCGUAGAGAUGUGGAGGAACACCAGUGGCGAAGGCGGCUUCGUGGUCUGUAACUGACGCUGAGGCGCGAAGCGUGGGGAGC